CCCUUAGAUGUCCUGGGCCGCACGCGCGUUACACUGAUGCAUUCAACGAGCUUAUAACCUUGGCCGAGAGGCCUGGGCAAUCUUGUUAACGUGCAUCGUGAUAGGGAUAGAUUAUUGAAAUUAUUAAUCUUGAACGAGGAAUUCCUAGUAAGUGCAAGUCAUCAGCUUGCGCUGAUUACGUCCCUGCCCUUUGUACACACCGCCCGUCGCUACUACCGAUUGAAUGGUUUAGUGAGAUCUCUGGAUUGACGCUGGCUAGGGGGCGACCCUUGGCCAGACUGUUGAGAAACUGCUCAAACUUGAUCAUUUAGAGGAAGUAAAAGUCGUAACA
rnacentral:rRNA from 1 species